rnacentral:rRNA from 1 species
UACGUAGGGUGCAAGCGUUAAUCGGAAUUACUGGGCGUAAAGCGUGCGCAGGCGGUUGUGUAAGACAGAUGUGAAAUCCCCGGGCUCAACCUGGGAACUGCAUUUGUGACUGCACAGCUGGAGUGCGGCAGAGGGGAUGGAAUUCCGCGUGUAGCAGUGAAAUGCGUAGAUAUGCGGAGGAACACCGAUGGCGAAGGCAAUCCCCUGGGCCUGCACUGACGCUCAUGCACGAAAGCGUGGGAGCAACAGG